CACAUCCAAAGCCUCUCAUGAAGACACCAAAUAUAUUGUGUUUGAAAACUGUCUUCUUGAACUGUUUGAGACCUGUCCAGUAUGUUCAAUAGCCUGCAAUAUUCAGCCUCGUAGCAAUGGGACUUUUUUGGCCAUUGAUCAACGUUGCCUGCAUUGUGAGUACUUCAGACAGUGGAAGAGCCAACCCUGUGUUUGCAGUACCCCUGUUGGUAACCUCCAGCUGUCUGCUUCCCUGUACUUCUCUGGAGCUUCAUUCUUCCAGAUGAAAAAGGUAUUUGAGUCAAUGCAUUUGAAGAUGUUCACAUACAGAACCUUCAGAAGGCAUGCCAGCAUGUACCUGGAACCACUAAUAAUUUAUAAGUGGAAGAAGGAACAGGUGGAUUUAUUGAAGGAUCUCUGUGAGGCAGACAAGGUGAUAAUUGGUGGCGAUAUGAGAGCUGAUUCGCCAGGCCAUUCAGCAAAGUAUGGGAGCUACACCACAAUGGAUCUUCAAAAGAACCUCAUAAUAGACAUCCAGCUAGUGCAAAGUUAUGAGGUCGGUGGUAGCUACCACAUGGAGAAAGAAGGGUUAAAACGAAGCCUGGAAUGGCUGAGGAAUGUGGUGUAAGGCUAGACUGCAUUGUGACAGACCGACAUCCCCAGAUUCAAAAGUUUCUGAAAGAACGAAACGUCACACAGUACUAAGAUGUCUGGCAUUUGGAGAAAGGGUUGUCAAAGAAGUUAGAGCAAAUUGCCAGAGUCAAUGACUGUUCAAUAGUGAAAAAGUGGCAGCACAGCAUAAGAAACCAUCUCUACUGGACUGCAGCAUCCUCUACAUCAGGACCAACGAAGGUAGCCAAGUGGAAGUCCCUCAUCAAUCACAUUCAGGAUGUUCACAUCCAUGAUGAUCCAUUAUACCCACAAUGUGAACAUUCACAUCGAGUGUCUAAGGGCAGCAGUAAACACUUCAAACCUGGUGAGUGCAUAGUAUUUCAUAUUAUUACCAUUACCAAUCAAAGUGGCUGACUGUUGUUCAUCUGUGUGUCCCACAGUGCUAAUACGGUUUCCAUUAUCCUUCACACAAAU